rnacentral:rRNA from 1 species
UACGGGGGGGGCAAGCGUUGUUCGGAAUUACUGGGCGUAAAGGGCUCGUAGGUGGCCAACUAAGUCAGACGUGAAAUCCCUCGGCUUAACCGGGGAACUGCGUCUGAUACUGGAUGGCUUGAGUUUGGGAGAGGGAUGCGGAAUUCCAGGUGUAGCGGUGAAAUGCGUAGAUAUCUGGAGGAACACCGAUGGCGAAGGCAGCUGCCUGGCCCAGAACUGACGCUGAGGUGCGAAAGCGUGGGGAGCGAACGGG